GAUGAACGCUGGCGGCGUGCCUAAUACAUGCAAGUCGAGCGAACGGACGAGACUCUUGCUUCUCUGAUGUUAGCGGCGGACGGGUGAGUAACACGUGGCUAACCUACCUAUAAGACUGGGAUAACUUCGGGAAACCGGAGCUAAUACCGGUUAAUAUUUUGAACCGCAUGGUUCAAAAGUGAAAGACGGUCUUGCUGUCACUAAUAGAUGUAUCCGCGCUGCAUUAGGUAGUUGGUAAGGGAACGGCUUACCAAGGCAACGAUGCAUAGCCGACCUGUGAGGGUGGACCGGCACACUUGAACUGAGACACGGUCCAAACUCCUAAGGGAAGCAGCAGUAGGGAAACUUCCGCAAAGGGCGAAAGCCUGACGGAGGAACGCCGGGGUGUGGAUAAAGGUCUUCGGAUCGUAAAACUCUGUUAUUAGGGAGGAACAGAUGUGUAAGUAACUGUGCACAUCUUGACGGUACCAAAUCAGAAAGCCACGGCUAACUACGUG
rnacentral:rRNA from 1 species